UGAUAAACUAAAUUUUUUCAAUACAAAUAUUUCAACAUAAAAUUUAAUAUUAUAAAAUUGUACUCAGAAAUUCAAAUGAAGCACUUAGCGUGCAAAGCUCAUUCAAAUGUUCAACAAUAAAUUUGGUUUCAUACAUUGUAAUGUGAACUCUAUGUACAAAGUCGUGUACGUAUACGUAUAUAUAUAUAUAUAUAUAUGAAAUGUAACUACUGAUCGUAAGAGUAACAACUCCGUCCGUGUGCAGCUUCCCAUAGCUGCCCUUGCUUUGUCUUCUUCUUCUGCUUCUUUAUCGGCCUUUGCAGUGUCCACUAGCUGCAGCUGCUACCGCUGUCGAAAUCGAAGCAGCACAAUACAUAGAGACAGACAUGGAUGGAGCUAGUAUGGCAGUGGCAUUGUUAUUACUGCAACGCUCACGUUGCUCUGUGGUAUCUACAGAUACAUGGACACGGCGUCGACAAUGGACAGAGCUUGACGAUGUCUACAAGGAGCUGGCUGCGUCGCGUUCACUGCGGGAGGAGUGGCGAUGGUGCAAAUGGCGACAAUUGAAUCGUCGUCUGCGUCCGCGGAGAAUCAAUGCUUGUGUGCAAGAGUCUCCCCGUCGACAGGACUUUGCAAGUGGCGGGCUGGCGAGCAUGGUAAGCAUCUGCACAUCUUUAGGUGCUUGUGUCUACCGUGUGCGGGAUUUUAUGACGAGCAGAUUUCUUUCGCGUCCUAGAGUGUUGAAAACAAGGUGCAUGUUGCUGUUUAGUAGCGCUCCGGGAGACCUUGUUCCAAAACCAUGAUGCGGCAGCAUUGUCGGAUGAAACCUUCUGUCAGAGGGGAAUGACAAAAGUCUUUUCAGUGCUCAUUAAGGGGCAAAACCGGCGGUACGUACGCCGACAUUGUAGCACUGCAUUUUCUUUCCCAGCCAUUCGUGUAUGGAUCAGAAACAAGGAGCUUCGAAAUAUAUUGACGGACUCCUGAAGAAUUUUUUUUAAGUGACUGUCAUCUCGACUCAAUGCCGAUUCACAAAAGGUAUUGCUAAGUUAAAGAAAUCUUGGAACACAACGAAGGCUCGAGCGGAUGCUACAGUACACACGGCACUUUGGGCUAUGGCAAAACUCAUGGUCCAUUCGGGUGCACGGAAGCAAUCUCAGGAGGAGAAUGAUGCAGCGGAGGACACAAAGAUCUUGCCAUUCUCGCAACCGAUCAUUAAAAUACCGCUUCAAAUGCACCUUCUCCACCUCUCAUUGCUUCUUUUUCUUCCUCCCAACCACAUCCGGUUGGAGGUUGCCAGCUUCCCGGGCAAACUAGCUUUCAUCAUUUUUGAGUCCGCUAUACAUCAUAAUCAAGUUGUUUACAAGAAAUGAAGAUGAAUUUGAACCGAUCAGGUUUGCGAAGCACCAUUAGAGGUGAAGCACAUGUUUGGUCACGAUUCCCGUCAGGUUACUCCAUUCGGGUUAGGGUUGAUGUGCGUGCUCUGACUACCACUUUGCAGGUAGGAUGGCUGUUGUAUAUGAUCCUUUUAAAUGUGAGAAGAACAAAAAGACCAUACGCGACAGCCAUCUCAGAAAUCGAAGGAAGGAGAGAGUUCCUAUUAAAGACACCCAGAAGAACGGCUAAUGAGAGAGCUGGCUCUUCGAUAGAUCUCUUCGAUAGUAGUGUAUAUCACAAAGCUGCUCGAUGCUUUGUAAUGUUUCAUUCGCAGAGACAAUAUACACUUAGGAUGUCAUCACGCUAUGCAUCGAAAUCCAAUCAUAAAAUUACGAUUCAAAUGUUGUUGAAGACCCAAAGUUCGCUUGCAAAUUCCUCAUCAAAAUAUCGCUUCACUUGAGGACAGCCAAAGACCACAGACAGUGACAUUGGUUUUGACUCACGAGGCGGCACACACACACUGCUGAUUACACAAUUGCCGUACGAACAUAUGACAACAGACAUGCACGCUAACUUUGAUUCACGCCAUGCUGUACGUAAAUCUCAACAUUCACAUUAACGAGUCUUCUAGUACAAAUGUUGCGCAAAGACCAACAGCAGUGAAUGUAAAA